CGACGACGGAAACAGCAAAGAGUCG
rnacentral:misc_RNA from 1 species